rnacentral:rRNA from 1 species
AGAACGAACGCUGGCGGCAGGCUUAACACAUGCAAGUCGAACGCCCCGCAAGGGGAGUGGCGCACGGGUGAGUAACACGUGGGAACAUGCCUUUCAGUUCGGGAUAACCAUUGGAAACGAUGGCUAAUACCGAAUAUUCUCUCCGGAGGAAAGAUUUAUCGCUGAAAGAUUGGCCCGCGUUAGAUUAGGUAGUUGGUGGGGUAAUGGCCUACCAAGCCUACGAUCUAUAGCUGGUCUGAGAGGACGACCAGCCACACUGGAACUGAGACACGGUCCAGACUCCUACGGGAGGCAGCAGUGGGGAAUAUUGGACAAUGGGCGCAAGCCUGAUCCAGCCAUGCCGCGUGAGUGAUGAAGGCCUUAGGGUUGUAAAGCUCUUUGUCAGGAGAUAAUGACGGUACCUGAAGAAUAAGCACCGGCUAACUUCGUGCCAGCAGCCGC